rnacentral:lncRNA from 1 species
AGAUACCUCAAGGAUCUAGAAGGCCUUCUCCUGGUACAGGAGGAAGAUGCAAGGCAGAGGAGUAGGGCAAAUUGGUUGCGACUGGGGGAUAAGAACACGAAAUUCUUUGCGGCCAUGACAAGGCAAAGACAAACCCUAAACUCCCUGUACAAAAUGCUGGGACCGAAUGGUAGGGUGGUGGUAUCUAGAAGUGAGAUAGAGGCAAAAACGCUGGACCACUUCCAGACACUAUUUGCUGAGGGGGAGGAGGCCUUAAGUACCGAAACCAGAAACUUCGUUAAAAAGGUUACGUCCGGAAUU